rnacentral:rRNA from 1 species
AGCGAACGCUGGCGGCAGGCCUAACACAUGCAAGUCGAACGAACUCUUCGGAGUUAGUGGCGGACGGGUGAGUAACACGUGGGAACGUGCCUUUAGGUUCGGAAUAACUCAGGGAAACUUGUGCUAAUACCGAAUGUGCCCUUCGGGGGAAAGAUUUAUCGCCUUUAGAGCGGCCCGCGUCUGAUUAGCUAGUUGGUGAGGUAAAGGCUCACCAAGGCGACGAUCAGUAGCUGGUCUGAGAGGAUGAUCAGCCACAUUGGGACUGAGACACGGCCCAAACUCCUACGGGAGGCAGCAGUGGGGAAUCUUGCGCAAGGGGCGAAAGCCUGACGCAGCCAUGCCGCGUGAAUGAUGAAGGUCUUAGGAUUGUAAAAUUCUUUAACCGGGGACGAUAAUGACGGUACCCGGAGAAGAAGCCCCGGCUAACUUCGUG